rnacentral:rRNA from 1 species
AGAGUUUGAUCAUGGCUCAGGAUGAACGCUGGCGGCGUGCCUAACACAUGCAAGUCGAGCGAGAAGGUUAUGAUGGAUUCUUCGGAUGAUAGAUUGACUGGAAAGCGGCGGACGGGUGAGUAACGCGUGAGUAACCUGCCCCAUACACAGGGAUAGCCAUUGGAAACGAUGAUUAAUACCUGAUAACACAUAUUUACCACAUGGUAGAAAUGUCAAAGAUUUAUCGGUAUGGGAUGGACUCGCGUCUGAUUAGCUAGUUGGUAAGGUAACGGCUUACCAAGGCGACGAUCAGUAGCCGACCUGAGAGGGUGAUCGGCCACACUGGAACUGAGACACGGUCCAGACUCCUACGGGAGGCAGCAGUGGGGAAUAUUGCACAAUGGGCGCAAGCCUGAUGCAGCAACGCCGCGUGAACGAAGAAGGCCUUCGGGUCGUAAAGUUCUUUUCUUAGGGAAGAAAAAUGACGGUACCUAAGGAAUAAGCACCGGCUAAAUACGUGCCAGCAGCCGCGGUAAUACGUAUGGUGCAAGCGUUAUCCGGAAUCACUGGGCGUAAAGGGUACGUAGGCGGUUUUGCAAGUCAGAAGUGAAAGGCUACGGCUCAACCGUAGUAAGCUUUUGAAACUGCAAGACUAGAGUGCAGGAGAGGUAAGUGGAAUUCCUAGUGUAGAGGUGAAAUUCGUAGAUAUUAGGAGGAACACC